rnacentral:lncRNA from 1 species
ACAAAAAGAACAAAUAAAAUAUUAAAAAAAAUUCAAAAUUAAAAUCAAAUUACAGAUAAAUUGGUUAACCUAAUAUCAAAAGUUUAAUCACAUGUUAAACUUAUUAAUCCUAAUAUUUAUAUAUCGAUAAUAUAAAUAUUAAAUAAAACUAUUCUAAUAUUAAUAUAUUCUAAUAAAUACUAAAAUACACUAAGUUAACUAAUGCUUAUAAUAUUUAAAUUAUAGCAUAUUGUACAACAUAUAAUAUAUAGAAAUAUAACAGAUUAUAACAUAUUCUACCAAGGUGAAUAUAACCAAUUCCUUCAAUACUUCCAGCACAUUAAAAUAAUCCACGUUUAAUAUUACUCAUGAAUAAAAAAUUUUCAAACCAUUUACUCCAACCCAUGUACACCCUCAUGCACACUCCCAUCCCUACAUGAUAAUCCAAGUCUUGGAGACACCCCUUCCCCGACGCAGGUGCUUAAUCUUGCAUGCAAAAACUCUCCUCCUUUCUCUUCUUUCUCUUUUACUAGAAACCCAAAGACCAUUCUCUCUCUUUAACACUCACCAUACCUAUCUCUUCCUAUUACUCCACACUCACUGCCAUCUUCAUCCAUCUUCCACUCACUGCCCAAACUGUCUUUCACUCUUAUAUUCCUUCGACUCAUAUUUCUCUUGUUCUAUAACUCACAGAGUCUCUCUUUCUCAAACAACUCGUCACUCUCCUUCCUACUACUUUUUCUUCAACAUUCACCCAUUUCACUACACCUAAGUCCUAUCUUAUUCUUCUACACUUACGAAUCACACACCACUCAUCACUGCACUCCAACAUCCACACUCAUAACAUUCACCACAUAUCUACGCUCAACUAACCCAAACACUACACCCUUAUCUACACGUAACCGAGAGAGAAUCUACCAUCUCCUUUACAAUGAAAACAACUACUAACUAAAACUACAUUAGGCUACAUUGCUCCAGGGAAGAAAACUAAAAACUAAAACUACCAUAAUUAAUACCUAAUACAUGAAACAACUAAUACCUAAUACAUGAAACACAUAAAAUCCAAAACAUGU